AGAUUCGAAGAAUAAGCUCUGGAUAUGUAGAUUUUAAAUGAUGUAUUUUAUUCUACCGAUAAUUUUCCCACUUAUGAUACCUGAUCGUCAGAAGCUACACGUAUUCUAUGUUGCAUUUUCUGACAAUGAAAUAAACAAUUUUCGUGCAGUUUGGAAACUUAAUUGACCAGUAGAUAUCUAUGUUGCAGCGGCCUGAUAACAUUAAUUAACUAAUAACGAGCUUGAUGGAAGCGAAAACAAUGGCAAUCUCAUAUUUCAUCAUUAGAUCCUCUAAUUCGUUUUAUCUCUGAUUUUUGUCUAAAAAUUAAUCAUCCAACCAUGACUCAGUUCAAAAGUUUAGGGCAUCUCCGUUACUAGACAGAGAAAAAGGAAAAAUUACAGUGAAAAAAAGGUAAAACAAAGAGGUAAAGACAAUACUAAACACACUAUAUCAAGGCAAAGCUCUUCGGUUGUAAUGAAAGAAGUUCUCUCAAGUUUUUGAUUGUCUUUUGUUCAGCUUUUUUGGGUUUUUUUUUGUAGAAAGGAAAUCAGGAUCAUCGGUGGUGUCUUCUGUACAAGCUUGUUUCAGUUUUAUUUUAGUUUGCUAAAAGUAUUUUAGUUUCUUUGUUAACUUAAGGCGUAAAAAUGUGUUCGUUGAAUUGCCCUAAAUAACGUAACAACUUUAUUAAAAACGGCGGUUUCAAAUCUUUUUCUUUUGACUUUCUAAACAUAAUUUAUGCGGAUGCUGAUAUCGUCUCUCUGAUAAAAGCCGAAAAAAUUAUAUCAGUCAACGUGCUUCAUUCAGGUCAUUCAAACUGUUGUUAGCUUUGAGAUUAAUGAUCAAAUGAAAAGAGCGGUCUGAUCUUAUCAAGACAAAGAAUCAUAUAAUAGGAAUUGGGCAGUAACAGCAAAAGGAAGAAGUCUGUCUUUUAACUCUGAGCCGCCUCAAACGCUGAAAUUACAGUUCCGGCAACUGGAGCAAGAAAGAAACGCUACACCUGAAUUCAAGACAGCAUGUAUCUCCUAAUUAUUCUGUUGCAAAUAUCUCUGUUAUGGCUGAGUGCGUACUCUGAGGAGGAGAAAAGAGGUGAUGACGCAGCUUUGUUUGAUGCAGCCGUACCACCAAACGUCUUUAGAAAUACUGGGUUUGCUGGAAAUAAAGCCGGAAAAAGAGAAGUUGAAUUUGAUGCAGCCGUACCACCAAACGUCUUUAGAAAUACUGGGUUUGCUGGAAAUAAAGCCGGAAAAAGAGAAGUUGAAUUUGAUGCAGCCAUACCACCAAACGUCUAUAGAAAUACUGGGUUUGCUGGAAAUAAGGCUGGAAAAAGAGAACUGAGUUGAGAUUGAUGCCGUCAUUCCAUUGUCCAUCCUAAGAAAUUCCAGAUUUGGAUACAACUGUGGAAGAAUGUUAUUUGAGUUUAAAGAAGUUGUUUAAUAAUACUGAGGGAACUCGAUAAACUGGAAUUAAUUUUAAUAAUUUGUGAAUUGCCAAUAGUUUAAUCAUGACAUCAUUUAAUUUGGAAUUUAUAGCGGAGAUUUGUGUUCAAAAAUAAACAAAGUUUCAACCUAUGAGAUAACAUUGAAUAAAGACGGACUGAAAAAUA